rnacentral:rRNA from 1 species
UAAGGUGAUUAUAGCGUAAGGGUUCCACCUCUUCCCAUUCCGAACAGAGAAGUUAAGCCUUACUGCGCCGAUGGUACUGCAUGAUUGUGGGAGAGUAGGUCGUUGCCAUCU